rnacentral:rRNA from 1 species
ACUCCUACGGGACGCAGCAGUGGGGAAUAUUGCACAAUGGGGGAAACCCUGAUGCAGCGACGCCGCGUGAGUGGAGAAGUAUUUCGGAAUGUAAAGCUCUAUCAGCAGGGAAGAAAAAAGACGGUACCUGACUAAGAAGCCCCGGCUAACUACGUACCAGCAGCCGCGGUAAUACGUAGGGGGCAAGCGUUAUCCGGAUUUACUGGGUGUAAAGGGAGCGUAGACGGAGAAGCAAGUCUGAUGUGAAAGCCCGUGGCUUAACCAUGGGACUGCUUUGGAAACUGUUUGACUUGAGUGCUGGAGAG